rnacentral:misc_RNA from 1 species
GAGGGCGGCGUGUUCGGCUGCGUGCACCUUGGCGUAGUCGAUUCGCCCAGUAGCCGUGUUGCGGUAGCGCGUGCAGGCGUCAAGGUGCGUCCCGAACAUCAGGCUGGUCGUCUCGCGGAUGACUGCCGCCGCUGUCAAAGAGGUGAUCCGCGACGGCCUCCAAGUCGACAAAGUUGCCGACAGCAUCGUUGCGUGCAGCUUCUUUCCUCGCCUCGGCCGCUUGUUGCUGUGCAUAUGCCUUGCGGUAUAUCCACGACGUAAACUCCUUGACCGCCA